GAGGGCGGGAUCAGUGAAAACCACGUGAUCAUCCACGAGUGCGGUGCAGAGUCGCUGAGAUAACCGGAACUGCAGAUGCUGGAGAAUCCGAGAUAACACGGUGUGCAGCUGGAUGUGCACAGCAGGUCAAGCAGCAUCAGAGGAGCAGGAAAGCUGACGUUUCGGGCCUAGAUCCUUCGCUGAGACCAAGAUUUGUGCAAUUGAGAUACCAGCGAUCGUUGCCAAAGCCCUGUUCCCUGUGGAGAAGGUGAUGUUUAACUUUCGUGUGCUGCUUCAGUUUGUAUGAUAAAGGAUAUUACAAGUGGACUUUCAGGUAGGAAGCUCAAUAAUUGUAACACCAAACUCUGACAGAAUUACUCAAUUCAAUCAGGACCUGGAUAUUCGCAUUGUGUAUUUCCACAAUUUUACUUCUGCACUGCUCUUACUCUUUCAGAGGGAUUGAAAGGUGGAGUUACAGAUCUAUACAAUGACUGUCCUUCCUCGCUGGCUCUCCCAAUUCUCUCUUUUGGUAGUUUGAUGCAAACACUGACUGGAUCCCUUACCUGGAGGAUAUUUAUGAAUGAAUUUGUUCUAAUGGUGAUCCAGCAUAUUCCCCAAGUGUUGCUGUACACAUGUCCAGAGAAUUUCUCAGUUUCACAAUCUGUGUCCUUCUGGUUUCUUACUUACUUUCUCUUUGAAAGUAUAGUCUGCAGUUGGAGAAUUUAAACAGGCCCACAUCCAGGUCUGACGGUCACUUUGUUUAUCACAACCCAAUUUUCUCAGGAUUUUGAACAUUGAAGGAAAAAGCAGCACUCACAUUGGGGAGAAAUGCACAUGGUGUGUGUGUUGAAGAGUCUGUGAAGAUUCAUCUGAAAUGUCCAAACACCAGUGCAGUGACACUGGGAGACAGUGUGGAAAUGUGCAGAUUGCAGGAAGGAAUUUCUUCAUCCAUCCCAGCUAGAAACUGACCACCAGAGUCACACUGGAGAGAGACCAUUGACCUGUUCUGCGUGAGGGAAAGGCUUUGCUGACUCGAAUUCCCCGCUGAUACACCAGCGAGUUCACUCUGGGGAGAGACCUUUCAUGAGCUCUGUGUGGGAAGGGAUUCAUUGUCAUCCAAACUGUUAACACACCAGCGAGUUCGCAGACAACCACAGUUGAAGAACAUUGCUGUCACUCUCACUAUCAAAUAAACCAUGGUGUUGGGCUGUUUGUACAGAUGUUACCGAUACCUGCUCAAUUAAAGGUGCUGGUAUUGUGAAUAAAAUGUCACACUAACAGUUGUGUAAGGUAGAGCUUGGAAAUAGUCAUGUUGUCACAACACAUCGACACAUUCACACUGACUAAAGCCUAUCCACCUGCAUGAUAUGUGAAAAGGGAUUUCCUGGUACAUUCCUGGUUCCUGGUUAACGACCAGCAAAUUUCUGAAUAAGUUGAUUGGUUUGAAUAUAGCUAACAGUAGAAUCAAAAAUAGUAUCAGUGAUAAUGGGAACUGCAGAUGCUGGAGAAUCCAAGAUAACAAAAAGUGUGGAGCUGGAUGAACAUAGCAGGCCAAGCAGCAUCUCAGGAGCACAAAAGCUGACUUUUCGGGCCUAGAGAAGGGUCAAGGCCUGAAACGUCAGCUUUUGUGCUCCUGAGAUGCUGCUUGGCCUGCUGUGUUCAUCCAGCUCCACACUUUGUUAUAGUCGAUUCAAAAACCAUGUGUUUUGGGCUUGUUUCUGGAGAUCAUAGAAUCCCUCCACUGUGGGAGCAGACCACUUAGCCCAUCAAGUCCGCACUGACCUGACGAAGAUUGUCUUACCCAGACACUGUCUGCGUGAGUUUCCUCCAGAUGCUCUGGUUUCCUCCCACAGUCCAAAAAUGUGCAAAUUAUGUAGAUUCACUAUGCUAAAUUGCCCAUAGUAUCUUGUGUGCAAAAUGCAGGGAUAGGGUAGGGUGUGAGACUGGUUGGGAUGCUCUUUGCAGGGUUGAUAUUGACUGAAUGGCCAUCUUCCACACUGUAGGAAUUCUGUGAUGAUCUCGAUGGCCCUUUAUUUGUUAGAUAGGUCUGCACACCUUUACAAUGACAGAUUCUGUUGCUCUCCCACAGACAUUUGUUUAUUGGAAACAAUGUAAUCUUUCAGUUUGUGGAUAAAAAUCAAAGGAAUGUUUUAAAUCUAAACAUAGGAUUGGGUUGAGUCAUGUCCUAUAAUCCCUGAUUUGCAUUUUCCCCGUCGGCUAUGAAACCUGGUGACCGCUGUGACUCUGCCUGGGAGCAUUGCAGUCUCGUCAGCUCUUUACCUGGUGUCCAUAGCAGUGAUGGAUCUCAUGACGGAAACAUAAACCAAAACAUUGUGUGAUUUCUAGUACAUAUUUUCUAUUUAGUCUUCUGUCCAUCACUUCCCUAGAGGCUGAGAUACUGGUCUGGGGACCUAGGUGUGAAUCCAUCUGGAAAUAAGAAUGUGAUGAUGACUGUCAAUCCAUUGCCUUUGUUGGAAAAACCCAUCUGUUCACCGAUGGCCUACAGGGAAGGAAACUGCCAUUCUUAUCCAGUGAUGUGAUCAUCCCAUGAAUGAAUUUUUUAAAAAAAUUAAAAACUCCUGCAAAUACGUUAAA